GAGGUUGUGUCUGCUGGUAGUGUAACGGGGUCCACUUUAUGCUUUGAAUACGGCUCUUGCUGCUCUGCCCCUGCAGUUUAUUUCUAAAAUGGACACGUUUCUUUCUCUUCUCCUCUCCCUGCUCCUCCCUAGUCUCUCCCUCAUCCCGGGGGAAACAAGGUUGCCUUUCUUCCCCAUCCUAGGUAGAGUCACCUGUCCUUGAGCACACACCCACCAUGGGAACAAAGUAAUCCAGACUUUGGGGAUGGUACCAGAAGAUCUCAGAAAUGACUGUCUCCCAAAUUAACAAGGGAAUUACGACUCCAGACAGAGAACACAUGGAAUAGAGCCUUUGAGUCACCUCUUUAAAAGCCCCCUGUUUCUGUCUAUGGGCAGAAUCACAUCCUUCAGGACAGGAGUCCCCUGUGUUUCUCCUUGGCUGGCAUAGCAAUAAAC
rnacentral:lncRNA from 1 species